rnacentral:rRNA from 1 species
GGUUCGAUUCUGCUCAGAUUGAACGCUGGCGGGAUGCUUUACACAUGCAAGUCGAACGGCAGCACGGACUUUCGGUCUGCGGCGAGUGGCGAACGGGUGAGUAAUGUAUCGGAACGUGCCUAGUAGCGGGGAUAACUACGCGAAAGCGUAGCUAUCACCGCGCGCGCCCUUCGGGGGAAAGCGGGGGACCUUCGGGCCUCGCACCAUUAGAGCGUGGCCGAUAUCGAUUAGCUUAGUUCAGGGUAACGGCUCACCAAGGUGACGAUCCGUAGCUGGUUUGAGAGGACGACCAGCCACACUGGGACUGAGAUACGGCCCAGACCUCACGGGAGGCAGCAGUGGGGAAUUUUGGACAAUGGGGGAAACCCUGAUCCAGCCAUCCCGCGUGUGCGAUGAAGGCCUUCUCGGGUUGUAAAGCACCUUUUUGGCAGGAAGAAACGGCACGGGAUAAUACCCCGUGCAAACUGACUUGCACCCGGCAGAAUAAGCACCGGCUAACUACGCGCCAGCAGCCGCGGUAAUACGUAGGGUGCAAGCGUUAAUCGGAAUUACUGGGCGUAAGCGUGCGCAGGCGGUUCGGAAAGAAAGAUGUGAAAUCCCGAGCUUAACUUUGGAACUGCAUUUUUAACUACCGAGCUAGAGUGGCCAGGGAGGAGGUGGAAUUCGCGUGUAGCAGUGAAAUGCGUAGAUAUGCGGAGGAACACCGAUGGCGAAGGCAGCCUCCUGGGAUAACACUGACGUCAUGCACGAAAGCGUGGGGAGCAAACAGGAUUAGAUACCCUGGUAGUCCACGCCCUAAACGAUGUCAACUAGCUGUUGGGGCCUUUCGGCCUUGGAAGUGCAGCGACGCAGUUGACCGCCUGGGGAGUACGGCUCAAGAUUAAAACUCAAAGGAAUUGACGGGGACCCGUACAAGCGGUGGAUGAUGUGAUUAAUUUGAUGCAACGCGAAAACCUUACCUACCCUUGACAUGUCUGGAAUCCCGAAGAGAUUUGGGAGGCUCGCAAGAGUAAACCGGAACACAGGUGCUGCAUGGCUGUCGUUAGCUCGUGUCGUGAGAUGCUGGGUUAAGUCCCGCAACGAGCGGCAACCUUGUCAUUAGUUGCUGGCUGAAAGGGCACUCUAAUGAGACUGCCGGUGACAAACGGAGGAAGGUGGGGAUGACGUCAAGUCCUCAUGGCUCCUGGCGGGUAGGGCUUCACACGUCAUACAAUGGUCGGGAGCGAGAGGGUCGCCAACCCGCGAGGGGGAGCCAAUCCCAGAAACCCGAUCGUAGUCCGGAUCGCAGUCUGCAACCUUCGGACUGCGUGAAGUCGGAAUCGCGCAAUCGCGGAUCAGCAUGCUGCGGUGAAUACGUUCCCGGUCUUGUACACACCGCCCGCUUACACCAUGGGAGUGGGUUUUACCAGAAGUAGUUAGCCUAACCGUAAGGAGGGCGAUUACCACGGUAGGAUUCAUGAUCGUGGUCGCAACAAGGUAA